rnacentral:rRNA from 1 species
AGCGAACGUUAGCGGCGCGCCUAACACAUGCAAGUCGCACGAGAAAGGGAGCAAUCCCCGGUACAGUGGCGCACGGGUGAGUAACACGUAGAUGACCUUCCCUGGAGUGGUGGAUAACCUGCCGAAAGGCGGGCUAAUACAGCAUGGGACCACAUGGUUUUGACCGAGUGGUGAAAGCGGGCCUCUGUUCACAAGCUCGCGCUCUGGGAUGGGUCUGCGUCCCAUCAGCUAGUUGGUGAGGUAAUGGCUCACCAAGGCAUCGACGGGUAGCUGGUCUGAGAGGAUGACCAGCCACACUGGAACUGAGACACGGUCCAGACUCCUACGGGAGGCAGCAGUGGGGAAGUCUUGCGCAAUGGGCGAAAGCCUGACGCAGCGACGCCGCGUGGGUGAUGAAGGCC